rnacentral:rRNA from 1 species
UACGAAGGGGGCUAGCGUUGCUCGGAAUUACUGGGCGUAAAGGGCGCGUAGGCGGAUAGUUUAGUCAGAGGUGAAAGCCCAGGCUCAACCUUGGAAUUGCCUUUGAUACUGGCUAUCUUGAGUUCGGAAGAGGUAAGUGGAAUGCCGAGUGUAGAGGUGAAAUUCGUAGAUAUUCGCAAGAACACCAGUGGCGAAGGCGGCUCACUGGCCCGGUACUGACGCUGAGGUGCGAAAGCGUGGGGAGCAAACAGGGAUUAAGAAACCCUGGGUACG